UUCUAUAUAAACCCUCUCGCACUUAGAAAUCUAUAAGAUUUGCAUAUAUAAAAUUAGAAAAAAGAAAAAUUGGGUUAAAAAUUAGAAUGAUGGGUUUGAUGGGGUCAUGAGAUGUAGUGUAGAGUUUCAACAUCCAUUCUCUCUAAUCUAUUUGGUUAUCGGUUGAAAUUAUUUUGAACCCAAAAUUAUCGGUAGAUAGACUUAUUAUCUCUAUACAAAAUACUUUUUGGACCUACACAGAUAUUUGAAACCUAAAUCAAUUCUGCAGAGAGAUGAUGAUUCUUCAAUCUGGCAUUGGAAAACAAUCCAAUCAAUUAAACCAUUCAACCCCCUUUCAUCAAAGGAUCUUUAUUCUUCAAUCGUGACUCUCGAUGAUGUCGUUUUCAAUUAUAGGUACUUGAGUUUUCAAUUGCACCGACAGCACAACACAGAUCUCUUGGAAUUGCUCAAUUUUUGAGGUACUGAAGGUUUGGAAGGGUUUCAAGACAUUUAACAGUAUUUACCAAGGACCACGACAGAAGAGAAGCAAACUUAGAGAAAAAUACACCAAACGUCUUUUCAUUUCAGUUUUAGUAUUUUACAUUUGCAUUAAAAUAAAACAAUUUCUGUGCCAAAUGAAUGAGUUUAUAUCCUUCAUUGUCAUUGAGCACAAAAAUGCACUUUCAGAGGUAAAAGUCAGGAGGGUAAUGAACAUAAAAAUGACAGAAAGGGAAUCUGUAAGAAGACCAUCUUGACCAUUUGAUGCUGUUAUCGCCUAUGCUUUCACCUACAAUCAGACUUCUAUUUGAGAAUUCAUGAGAACAAAAGAUCAUCUUCAAGGGUCACAAAUUGUCUCCACAAUACAGCUGGUUUCUGCUCUCAUCCUCUGUCCAUUAUUUGUCCUUGUAAAUAUGGAUGUUCUCCAUCUGUAAUAUGGCAAAAAAUAGUUACACAACUGCAACAAUGAGGCUUGUAUUUGUGAAAAACAUACACCAUAAAGCUAUUGUAGUAUUUCCCAAUUGUGCAAACAAGACUACCACUAAAUAUACACCAUUUGUUAAUUCUCAAA